rnacentral:rRNA from 1 species
GACGAACGCUGGCGGCGUGCUUAACACAUGCAAGUCGAACGGAAAGGCCCUGCUUUUGCGGGGUGCUCGAGUGGCGAACGGGUGAGUAACACGUGAGUAACCUGCCCUUGACUUUGGGAUAACUUCAGGAAACUGGGGCUAAUACCGGAUAGGAGCUCCUGCUGCAUGGUGGGGGUUGGAAAGUUUCGGCGGUUGGGGAUGGACUCGCGGCUUAUCAGCUUGUUGGUGGGGUAGUGGCUUACCAAGGCUUUGACGGGUAGCCGGCCUGAGAGGGUGACCGGCCACAUUGGGACUGAGAUACUGCCCAGACUCCUACGGGAGGCAGCAGUGGGGAAUAUUGCACAAUGGGCGGAAGCCUGAUGCAGCAACGCCGCGUGCGGGAUGACGGCCUUCGGGUUGUAAACCGCUUUCGCCUGUGACGAAGCGUGAGUGACGGUAAUGGGUAAAGAAGCACCGGCUAACUACGUG